rnacentral:rRNA from 1 species
AGCGAACGCUGGCGGCAGGCCUAACACAUGCAAGUCGAACGGAUCCUUCGGGAUUAGUGGCGGACGGGUGAGUAACACGUGGGAACGUGCCUUUUGGUUCGGAACAACUCAGGGAAACUUGAGCUAAUACCGAAUGUGCCCUUCGGGGAAGGAUUUAUCGCUUUAGGAGGGGCCCGCGUCGGAUUAGCUAGUUGGUGGGGUAACGGCCUACCAAGGCGAUGAUCCGUAGCUGGUCUGAGAGGAUGAUCAGCCACACUGGGACUGAGACACGGCCCAGACUCCUACGGGAGGCAGCAGUGGGGAAUUUUGGACAAUGGGGGCAACCCUGAUCCAGCCAUGCCGCGUGCGGGAAGAAGGCCUCGG